rnacentral:rRNA from 1 species
CCUACGGGUGGCAGCAGUGGGGAAUAUUGCUCAAUGGGGGGAACCCUGAUGCAGCGACGCCGCGUGCGUGAAGACGUCUUUCGGUAUGUAAAGCUCUAUCAGCAGGGAAGAAAAUGACGGUACCUGACUAAGAAGCCACGUCUAACUACGUUACAGCAGCCGCGGUAAUACGUAGGGGGCAAGCGUAAUCCGGAUUUACUGGGUGUAAGGGGGGCGCAGACGGCUGUGCAAGUCUGGAGUGAAAGGCGGGGGCCCAACCCCCGAACUGCUCUGGAAACUGUAAAGCUGGAGUGCAGGAGAGGUAGGCGGAAUUCCUGGUGUAGCGGUGAAAUGCGUAGAUAUUAGGAGGAACACCAGUGGCGAAGGCGGCUUACUGGACUGCAACUGACGUUGAGGCUCGAAAGCGUGGGGAGCAAACAGGAUUAGAUACCCCUGUAGUC